GCCCAGAUGGUGGAAUUGGUAGACACGCUAUCUUGAGGGGGUAGUGGCGCAAGCUGUGUGGGUUCGAGUCCCACUCUGGGCACCA
rnacentral:tRNA from 1 species